rnacentral:rRNA from 2 species
AGACUUUGAUCAUGGCUCAGGAUGAACGCUAGCUACAGGCUUAACACAUGCAAGUCGAGGGGCAGCGGGAUUGAAGCUUGCUUCAAUUGCCGGCGACCGGCGCACGGGUGAGUAACGCGUAUCCAACCUUCCGUACACUCAGGGAUAGCCUUUCGAAAGAAAGAUUAAUACCUGAUGGUAUGAUGAGAUUGCAUGAUAGCAUCAUUAAAGAUUUAUCGGUGUACGAUGGGGAUGCGUUCCAUUAGGUAGUAGGCGGGGUAACGGCCCACCUAGCCGACGAUGGAUAGGGGUUCUGAGAGGAAGGUCCCCCACAUUGGAACUGAGACACGGUCCAAACUCCUACGGGAGGCAGCAGUGAGGAAUAUUGGUCAAUGGACGAGAGUCUGAACCAGCCAAGUAGCGUGAAGGAUGAAGGUCCUACGGAUUGUAAACUUCUUUUAUAAGGGAAUAAACCCUUCCACGUGUGGGAGCUUGUAUGUACCUUAUGAAUAAGCAUCGGCUAACUCCGUGCCAGCAGCCGCGGUAAUACGGAGGAUGCGAGCGUUAUCCGGAUUUAUUGGGUUUAAAGGGAGCGCAGACGGGUCGUUAAGUCAGCUGUGAAAGUUUGGGGCUCAACCUUAAAAUUGCAGUUGAUACUGGCGUCCUUGAGUGCGGUUGAGGUGUGCGGAAUUCGUGGUGUAGCGGUGAAAUGCUUAGAUAUCACGAAGAACUCCGAUUGCGAAGGCAGCACACUAAGCCGUAACUGACGUUCAUGCUCGAAAGUGUGGGUAUCAAACAGGAUUAGAUACCCUGGUAGUCCACACGGUAAACGAUGGAUACCCGCUGUUGGCGAUAUACUGUCAGCGGCUUAGCGAAAGCGUUAAGUAUCCCACCUGGGGAGUACGCCGGCAACGGUGCAACUCAAAUGAAUUGACGG